UCGUACUGAGUGGCUUCUCAAUGGGAGAAAAGAGCUGAGAGGAGAGAGUGGUGGAGAGAGCAAGCGCAUGAGAGAGAGAGCGUGUGAAGGAGCAGUGCCGUCGCAUGUGCAGGACCCUCUGUGGGCUAAAAGUGUGGAGGGAAAUUAGCUUGUUAUCCCCCAAAGAAGCUUCACCUUCACAGAGAAGAUUUAAAGGUGACAUGACAAGCCUCUUGUCCCUCAAAUCCCUACUAGCAUAGCUGUAAGGGGAGAAUUUGGUGUUGGGUGCUUGCCUCUGUUUACAGAAUUGCUGGAGGACUUAAAACAAGAGGGGAUCGAGGGCAGGAGAACGGACAAGAGUCACCUCAUCCCCCUCUGACCCACAGAUCCAAACAGCAACUUUGCUGGGAAGCUCUUUGUCGAGAGCAUGGAUGUAUAAAUGACAAUGUGCUGAGGAUUUCUUUUGCAGGAACACUGACAGCACAUUCCUUUGACAUUCUCCUGACAACAUAUCACAGCCAGUGCUCCUGCCAUGUCCUGGUUCAUGUCCCUGUGGAUAAGUGUUAGCUGCCUACUGCUGUGCCACGCCACUUUGUAUGAGACCAUCCAGCAGCAUCAUGUGACCCGCCCGGGCCGCAACGCCAUACAGAUACUGGAGGGAGGAAAGUGUGAGGUCAUCGCUGCACACAGAUGCUGCAAUAAGAACCGCAUUGAGGAGCGCUCCCAAACAGUCAAGUGCUCAUGUUUACCAGGAAAAGUGGCUGGCACAACACGAAACAAACCCUCCUGUGUAGAUGCCUCAAUUGUGAUUGGGAAGUGGUGGUGUGAGAUGGAGCCGUGUCUGGAGGGAGAGGAAUGUAAGACACUACCAGACAACUCCGGCUGGAUGUGUUCCUCUGGGAACAAGAUCAAGACCACGAGGAACACCCAACCAUAUUCAACUAUUUAGCUCUGAGGGCCACACAGGCUGGCUCACCAGAAGCUCAGCGGCGUCCUUCUUCUCAUUAAGAUUCAUCCACGGACCUAACAAAGAGCUACUUCAAAUGUGGAUUCUUUGUCAGACUGGACUAAACCAUUGCAUCAAAGGGGUGUUUUAGUGGAUUAGCGGUGAACGAACAUAAAAGAGGACAUUCUUGGAGAUAAAGACAUGAUUUGCUCAUUUGGUGCCAAGGAAUGUAAUAAAUAGAAAUAUAUCAGACUAAUCUGUGUUUUUGAUCAGUAAACCCAUCAUCGUGGACGCCUGCUGCUGUUCAAAUCUUUUCAUUUUCUGCUUUUCUCUUGACCACCUUCCUCUGAUUCUGAACAGCUUAGUGGAGCCAUUUACGGGAUUUAAAAUUAUAUUUGAAGACUUUACCAUACCCUAGGUAAAUUGGACAAUCCCGACAUAAGCUGUGAACGACUGUACGGAGGAUCACGGAGGAUAAGCACUGGUCUUAGAAAAUGAAGUGGAAAUCAAUAAGAGAUUUGCCGCACACAAUUUUUUUCAUCCCGCUAUCACUCUGUCGUUUCGCCGUCCACGCUGGCUUUGGUAAUAAGACAGGUAGCUUGUGAAGACCUGUUAUUUCCUCCUACUUCUGAUUUACCACUCAACAUUGGAGACACUGUCUGUUUGGAAUUGCCCCAUGAUCAACGGUCACCUCACUGUCUACACCUACUUUGGCCAGAUGUCUUUUUAUUGGUUGGCAUGCUCAAUGUAUUUUGUGGGAGCUUUGUAUUGAAAGUAACUGUAUAUAUUUCUGUAUAUAUACAUACAGUGUAGACACAUAAUAAUAGACCUAAUAUGAAGACCUAACAUGCCCAUAAAGAUGUUCAAUGGGUUUGAAUUGAGAUAAAUGACUCUGUUCAUGGUUUUGGCUCUUUAAGAAGUACAAAUGACGCCCAGUUUUCUGUGCAAAUACAUGUUCACUUGGUGUAAUGAACAUUCUAGAGUUUUAGCUUGAAAUGAGAUUUUAAUAUUGUAACAUUGGAUCCUUGAUUAAAAAACAUAGACAUCUGUAUGAUGGAGAUUGGCCCUACAAAAACCUACAGUCACGUAUUGGCAUUGACAUUGAUAGGCAGUUCUAUCUCAGAGUCAGUCCAUUCUCCAGUGUGUUCCAUGCUGUACUGAGAAUAGGUAGACUUCAUCAUGCUUGAGUAGGUUUCAUAAAUACAACACAAUAGAAGACAUUCGGCUUGUGAAAGGUAAACCAUAACAAUCAAGCAUUGGUUCUGUGUCAUUGAUCAGAGACCUGAUCUCAUUUUAAAAUAAAUGAAGCCCUUACCAUAAUUCUCCUCAAUAUUAUAGUUUGGCAGGGUAAUAUCUAUAUAAUACUUGGCACAAUUACAAUUAUCUAAUGUGACUCCAUGUGAAUUUUGAGGGGAAAUUACCUUGCAAAUGUAUUAUUCACUGUCAUUCUCAUUAAAAAAGUUUUGCUUAAUUGUGUAAUGUGUUUUCCAAGGUGAAGAAGAUCAGGGAAGUUGAUGGGCUUCAUUUGUCUCUUCUGGCAUCAGUACAGACAUGCAUCUACAGUAGCCCUGGUAGAUAAACAUGCAGCAUUAUCAGAAGCAAAUCAA